UGAGGAAUAUUGGUCAAUGGGCGCGAGCCUGAACCAGCCAAGUCGCGUGAGGGAAGACGGUCCUAUGGAUUGUAAACCUCUUUUGUCGGGGAGCAAAAGGCGCCACGUGUGGCGUUCCGAGAGUACCCGAAGAAAAGCAUCGGCUAACUCCGUGCC
rnacentral:rRNA from 1 species